rnacentral:rRNA from 1 species
GGAAACAGGUGCUAAUACCGUAUAACAACUGAAACCGCAUGGUUUCAGUUUGAAAGAUGGUUUCGGCUAUCACUUCUGGAUGGACCCGCGGCGUAUUAGCUAGUUGGUGGAGUAAUGGUUCACCAAGGCAAUGAUACGUAGUCGACCUGAGAGGGUAAUCGGCCACAUUGGGACUGAGACACGGCCCAAACUCCUACGGGAGGCAGCAGUAGGGAAUCUUCCACAAUGGACGAAAGUCUGAUGGAGCAACGCCGCGUGAGUGAAGAAGGGUUUCGGCUCGUAAAACUCUGUUGUUGAAGAAGAACACAUCUGAGAGUAACUGUUCAGGUGUUGACGGUAUUUAACCAGAAAGCCACGGCUAACUACGUGCCAGCAGCCGCGGUAAUACGUAGGUGGCAAGCGUUGUCCGGAUUUAUUGGGCGUAAAGCGAGCGCAGGCGGUUUCUUAAGUCUGAUGUGAAAGCCUUCGGCUUAACCGGAGAAGUGCAUCGGAAACUGGGAGACUUGAGUGCAGAAGAGGACAGUGGAACUCCAUGUGUAGCGGUGAAAUGCGUAGAUAUAUGGAAGAACACCAGUGGCGAAGGCGGCUGUCUGGUCUGUAACUGACGCUGAGGCUCGAAAGCAUGGGUAGCGAACAGGAUU